GGGGUGGGGGCUGUCCUGACUGCUGGAGCUCUUCUUGUCACCAUCUACUGCUAUAUGAAGAGGAGAUCCACAGGAGGAUGUGAUGCCACAGCAGACACACUGAUUCAGGGACUCCCCUGUGACAAAGCCCUC